CUUCCCAUGACAUGCAGAAGGGACAAGCUCAUUGCUUCUUCCUCUAAGGAUCUGACUCACAUAUGCUUGUGCUGUACCAUAUAUCAGGUUCCCCUUUCUGCAGGUGCAGCAUAAAGUGAAAGUCAAUUAGCACAUAAUUGUAAGAACACUGAUAAGUGGAAAGAAGACUUCAUUACCCUUUGCAAGUGCUACCUGAUAUUGACUGAGGCAUCAUAAGAAUAAGAAGGCUUAAUGUACCCUGUAUGUUUGCAAUACAAUGUGCUGUCAUUACUGUUGAGGAUGUAUGAGACCUCAGGUUGAAAAUGAAGCACCUCCCCAAUGGCAUUGUGCCCAGGACUAUUGUAAUGUGAUCUUCAGACAGUGCAGUGUUCAAAUCAUCACCACACAUUUCAGCCAUUUUCUAGGCUAGCUGCUUAGUCACAAUUCACACACACCCUGCUGCAAAUUAUAGUGCAAGCCACCUGCAACUUCUGCAAACAGGAGAGCCACAGAGAUUGGGCAGGGAAAUGAAAUAUCUCAAAGGUCCAGUAAGUGCUGUCACCCACUUAGAAAACUGGCAUCCUCAGCAAAAAGUUUAGGUGGCAAACAAUUGUCAUUUCAAAAAGUCCCGCAUAUUAAGAAAACCCACCUUGGAAACAAGACCUAAUUCACAGAUCUCUCCAAAGGCAAAAAAAGAAGGAACUGAACACAUUCCACCUCACCAAGCAUAAAGGAGAGACAGCCAGGCACGUAAAUUUCACAUCAACUUAGUUUAGCCUCCAAACCAAAUCUACCUUAAUGCUAUUUGUAGAUAUAGAUUGCUGUCUUUUUCAUUACCAUUAUCAAAUGAUGCAUUUGUGGUUCAGCACUGAGCUCCUUGACCCAUUAAGUGGAUUACACUGCCUGUUGCCUUUGUUCUACUGGCUUUUGCUUUAUCCUAAAUGUACUCUUUUAUACUAUGUGGACAAUCCAUAUGCAUUAUUAUGUGUGGCAUGCACAUACACAUGCGUGCAAUGCCAAUUAGCCCGACAGCGCUAGCUCUUCUGUUUUAUAAGAAGAUGGUGUUCAGAUCUCUUAUCAGAGCCAUCAAUCCUCCUUUUUAGCAGUAGCAGCAGCUGAAAUCCUCUGAGAAAUGGCAUGUCACAAGCCCCACUCUGGCUCCUUGUAGAGCUACACUCAGCAAAUUGAAGAUCAUGCUCCCUAUUAAGCUUCUGGCUGGUGCAUCAUGGCAGAUUCAUUUUCAAGAGCAACUUGGGUCCCCUCUCCUUGUCUAUCCUGUGCAUGAUAAUCACUCCUCCAGCCUACAGGAGCUAAACCAGAAAUAAGUCAGUUGAGGACAAGUCCUGACAAUGUUAUUAAUAUAAAAUAGUUGCUCUUCUAUUUUUGGGAAAAACUUAAAGGGGAGUGGAAUAAAAGAGGGCUACAAAGAUCAAGGAUUCAGCCCUGACUUUGAAACCAAAGCCCAGCUCCAGCAAGGUUGGCUGUAGACACAAGCAGCUUCCAUUUAUACGCCAUUAAAUAUUUAUUGAGGUACACUGUGUGCAGUGUACCACGAUGGGUAUCAGGGAUGCAGCUGUGAGUAAAAUAAAUGCUGGCAGCAGCAAUGAAUAAAAAAGACAUGCAGUUAAGUAAUCUUUGUAAAGGGAGUAGCAGUUGCUAUGAUAUGUGUGCUUAUUACAUGAACACUCAUGGCACCUAAGCAUUCUAGGGGAGUCAACAAAAGCUGCCUUGAGGGAAGUGACCUUUAGACUAGAGUUGGAAGACAAGAAAUGUUUUCUUAGGAGAAUUCCACAUUUUUGGUAGGCAAUAAGGAAUUCUUAGUAGCUCAUCUCCAGGAUGGCCAACAUCAGUCCCUUUCCUCAUGCAUCCUUUUCCCUAUGAAAUGAAUCUGUCCCUUCCUCUUGUCUCUGGGCUAAUCUUUCAAUAACAUAAUAUGGAAGAAGUGAUGAUCUAGGACUUCUAGAAACACCUUUGGGGAAAGCUAGUGACCAAGCAAGAAAUCUGGCUAUAAUGAAAUAACUUUACUCUGUGUGUGUGUGUGUGUUUGUGUGUGUGUGUGUGUGUGUGUGUGUGUGUGAGAGAGAGAGAGAGAGAGAGAGAGAGAGAGAGGGAGAGGGAGAGAGAGAGAGAAUCACACAUCAGCUGUGUAAGUAGAGAAGACACCUUGGAAGUGAUCCACGAGCCACUGCGUCUCUAGCUGAUGCUGUACAACAAGCCACCCAAUUAUGUCUUUUCUGAAUUCUUCACAACCUUAAAUGGUUGAUAGAAGCCACUAAACACUGAGUGACUUGUUAUGCAGUAAUAGUUAACUACAAGAGAUUGAUGCUAAUUGAAAAAGUGCACCUGAGGAAUUUCACCUGUUUUUCCUCAGUACCUUUACCUAGUUUAGGUGAUAAGAUCCAGGACUUUAAAUCCCAACCUGACGCCACAGCGGGAUGAGACUUGGAGGUCUUUGAAGGGCUGCCACGAAGUCCAGCUAGAGGAAUCCCAAGUAUGGUUUAAAUCCUCCACUUGAUUCCCAGCAUCAACCCUCAGCCAUGGAGGAGCUACCAUUGCCAACCUUGACUAAGUCCAGUCAAGUUUUGGAUAGCCAUGGUACCAUCUGACAUAGGAGACAUCAAAUGAGGACCAUCUAUCUGUUGCCAACUACCCAAGGACCAUGAAAGGAUUAAAGGCAUUUCUUUGGAAUUGACAUAUUAUUCAUGAGAUCUUUGUAUGCAAAAGAGGUGAUUAACCACUGAGAAAACAACAAACAACUCUGUGGAUACAUGGAAGGCUGUGGAGGUGAGGACCUAGAAUGGAGAAAGCAAGAAACACCUGGAGCUCUGCUGCUGAAGUGAGGACUGGCAAGCAACUCAAGCCUGGAGUGCUCAAAGCUUUAGAGCAGGUGCAACAGAAAAAUGCUGACUUUAGUCUUUGACCUCAGUUCCAAAAACUGUAAGAACGCACUGUGAUGGGCUUACCUCAGACCAGAGGUGAAGGUGGGUCAAUCAACUGUGACCUGGGGCUAGAGUCACAGGCUGUGGAUUGGCUGCUCCUAAGGUACCUCCAUGAGUGGUGGCUGUGAGGGAGGAGGACGUUACUGUGUCCAGAAAAUCCAAAGAGCUGGGCAGGGAAACCAUGGAGCCAAUAUAGAAAGGGAUACCUAAUGUAAGGUUUGCAUGCCAUGACCACCAUUAGACUGUUUCUCUAAGAGACUUCUUGUUGAAAUAUACCUUUAUUUAAAAUGUCUCAAUAAA